rnacentral:rRNA from 1 species
UACGUAGGGUGCGAGCGUUAAUCGGAAUUAUUGGGCGUAAAGCGCGCGCAGGCGGUCUCUUAAGUCUGAUGUGAAAGCCCACGGCUCAACCGUGGAGGGUCAUUGGAAACUGGGAGACUUGAGUGCAGAAGAGAAGAGCGGAAUUCCACGUGUAGCGGUGAAAUGCGUAGAGAUGUGGAGGAACACCAGUGGCGAAGGCGGCUCUUUGGUCUGUAACUGACGCUGAGGCGCGAAAGCGUGGGGAGCAAACAGG